AACACAGUCACACUUUGAUCCACUUGUUAGAUAGUUAUGUGUCGUGGCAAAAAAAGAAAAGAAAAAAAAAUCAUAAGCUUAACAAGUUUAGUUUGUAAUCAGAUACAGGCUGCACCUAUGCUGCAGUCAGAAGAUGAGCCUUAAAUGCGAUUUAAAAAUUGAACAAGUAAACAUCGGACCUCUGACCAAAUGGCAUAAAAAAAAAACCCUGAUGUAAGUGUAACGCCUCCAUUAGGUCGCCAGGACACCGCGACUUAAUGGAUGCCCAGAUGAGUCAUACAAAGGAAAACAUAGACCAGUACUCUAGGUUCAGCAGUAGAGAUUGAAUGGAAUAAACAGACAGGCAACAAAGCCUCCAUUAUGUGACACUGAUAGAUCGGCAGUGAACGCCACCUCACAUUCUCUUACAGCCCAGUUGAGACAGCGAGUCGGACUUUCUGACUGGGGUCUCCCAGUCCAGGAUCCAGGAUCCAGUUGCAAAGGGAGGUGGUCAGACCCAGCAGGCUCAGCUUUGUUAUCAGUUGUUGUGGGUUGAUUUUGUUGAAUGCUGAACUGAAGUCUAUGAAGAGCAUACUUACAUAGUUGCCCGUUUGUCUAGAUGGGUCAGAGAAAGAUGGAUGGUAGUACAUAUGGCUUCUUCUGUUGAGCGGUUG
ensembl:lncRNA